UCUACGGGUGGCAGCAGUGGGGAAUAUUGGGCAAUGGAGGCAACUCUGACGCAGCAACGCCGCGUGAGUGAUGAAGGUCUUCGGAUUGUAAAGUUCUUUUCUAAGGGAAGAAGAAAGUGACGGUACAUUAGGAAUAAGCCGCGGCUAACUGCGUGCCAGCAGCCGGGGAAAUACGUAGGAGGCAAGGGUUAAGCGGAAUGACUGGGCGUAAAGGGCGCGUAGGUGGUAUGACAAGUUGUUGGCGUAACUCCCGAGCUCAACGUCGGAACUACUACCAAAACUGUUGGACUCGAGUGCAGGAGAGGCGAGUGGAAUUGCAGGUGUAGGGGUGGAAUGCGUAGAUAUUAGGAAGAACAUCGGUGGCGAAGGCGAGUUGCUGGACUGUAACUGACACUGAGGCACGAAAGCGUGGGGAGCAAACAGGAUUAGAUACCCUGGUAGUC
rnacentral:rRNA from 1 species